AUAAGUCUGCGAUCCGCUGUAAAACAAGAAGAAGAAGAAACGGCGUAACCGAUCACAUGUUUAUGUUAAGUGGAGCGCGGGACCAUUGCAUUAUAGGUCGAUCUAAGUCUGUACGAAGCGUGGCUAUCAUUUCUUUAGACCAGUGCAGCUACAGGAGGCUCUUUAUAAUGUAAAAUAGAUGUGUUUUUUAUUGACUGUAGAGAGAUCAGUCACAUGACAUGACGAUAGUGGCUCUUCACAAAACAGAUAUGUGGACAUAUGUGUGAUAACAAGAGCAGUGGAAACUUCUCAGACCUGAUGAGGUGCAUUGUGAUGACAUCAACUCCCCUCUUCAACUGAUUGACUAGAUGAGGAGCUGUCGAUCUAGAACUAGUGGAUCAAUGAUGAAGCUUAAGCCCACCCUGAUUUACAUGAAACUCCAACCACAACAUUUGGCAAAACAAGCUCAGAACAUGGAAACAAGAGCAAAGUGAA